AACGAACGCUGGCGGCAGGCCUAACACAUGCAAGUCGAGCGAGCAUUUCGGUGCUAGCGGCGGACGGGUGAGUAACGCGUGGGAACGUGCCCUUUUCUGCGGAAUAGUCCUGGGAAACUGGGGGUAAUACCGCAUACGCCCUUUUGGGGAAAGAUUUAUCGGAGAAGGAUCGGCCCGCGUUGGAUUAGGUAGUUGGUGGGGUAAUGGCCCACCAAGCCGCCGAUCCAUAGCUGGGUUGAGAGGAUGGUCAGCCACACUGGGACUGGGACGCGGCCCAGACUCCUACGGGAGGCAGGAGUGGGGAAUCUUAGACAAUGGGGGCAACCCUGAUCUAGCCAUGCCGCGUAAGUGAUGAAGGCCUUGGGGUUGUAAAGCUCUUUCAGCUGGGAAGAUAAUGACGGUACCAGCAGAAGAAGCCCCGGCUAACUCCGUG
rnacentral:rRNA from 1 species